ACUGAAGUGAUAGUGCAGGUGCUUGUUAGAGAACAAUGGUACUGAGCGUGACCAAGACAAGAAGUCACUUGGAUGUCUAUCCACUUGUCAAUGACUUGCUUGAUGUUGUAGUGGUGUGACUGGUACUUUGACCUGCGGUGCUUCGGCUACUCAUAGUGAGGUUAUUGUAGUUUGACUGCACACAAACGUAGUCUCUAGCCAUAUGAGUCCAUGCAGUGUAGAUUGGCUGCAAUAGGUUCACUGUAGGAGUAGGGCAUGCGCCUACAAGGAAUCUAUCGACCUUGAUGGAUAAGGAGAGAUCCUAUAUGAUUUAUAAGACUAAGUUCGUAAAACCUCGGCCGGGGCAGAUUGCAUAGUGGAGAAAGAGUUUUCCACUCUCAAACUUAAGUCGAAUAAAUCUAGACAUAUGUUACACGAUGGGGUUUAACAAGUCAUCCAUGACCUCCGUCCUGUAGGGAUCCACGAUAGAGGAACUGUAUCACACAAUAACUGCACCUAAAGGUUCAUCAUUCCAUUCUGCUGGGUAGCCACUACAUGCUGCUAGGUGUCACUGAUGGAUGGUGAGACUCAGAAAAUAUCUUGAUGGUCGAUAAACCCUAAUAAGUUUAGUUGGAAUCGUUCCAACCCAUUGAAAGGAGUUUUCAAUGAUAUUGUGAUAGAGAUCGCAAUAUAUCUCACUACUAGUCAGAAUAGAACCUAUGGGAUCACACACACUAGAGGUAUUGACCGAUUCGAUGGUUGAAUUGUGAUUAUGAAUCACGAGUAAUCAAUUCGAUUGAUAAUCAGUUGAAGAAGGAAUAAUGAAAAUUGAUUAAUUGGACUUAAAACACGAAUCCUACUUGGAGUAGGAUUCCUGGAGUCCUAAUUGAAUUAUGACCGGAAAUCCUACUUGGACUAGGACUGGAAGUCCUACUUGGAGUAGGAUUCCUACAAUCAUAAUUAAAUUAGGAUUUUUGAAUUCAACUUGGAUUCCUACUUAGAGUAGGAUUCCUAGAAGUCCUAAUUAGAUUAGGACUUCGGAUUCAAAUUAGAGUCAUAAUUGGAUUAGGACUAAAAUUAAAUAAAUCCUAAUUGGAUUAGGACUAAAAUUAAAUAAAUCCUAAUUGGAUUAAGAUUUUUUAAGUCCCAAUUAAUUGUUAAUCUAAUGAAUUAACAUGACUCCUAAUUGAAUUAGGAUUGAAGAGUUCAAUUGAGUCAUGGUUCAUUUGAGUUCU
rnacentral:lncRNA from 1 species